UGAGGAAUGUUGGUCAAUGGCCGGAAGGCUGAACCAGCCAAGUCGCGUGAGGGAAUAAGGCCCUACGGGUCGUAAACCUCUUUUGUCGGGGAGCAAUGGGUGACUUGCGAGUCAUCAGGGAGAGUACCCGAAGAAAAAGCAUCGGCUAACUCCGUGCCAGCAGCCGCGGUAAUACGGAGGAUGCGAGCGUUAUCCGGAUUUAUUGGGUUUAAAGGGUGCGCAGGCGGUACGGAAAGUCAGCGGUAAAAUUACGGAGCUCAACUCCGCCGAGCCGUUGAAACUUCCGCACUAGAGUGAGCGAGAAGUAAGCGGAAUGCGUGGUGUAGCGGUGAAAUGCAUAGAUAUCACGCAGAACGCCGAUUGCGAAGGCAGCUUACCGGCUCCAGACUGACGCUGAGGCACGAAAGCGUGGGUAUCGAACAGGAUUAGAUACC
rnacentral:rRNA from 1 species